GGGAAAUCUACCCAUUUUAAUCCUAAUAAGCGGUCGUGUUUGAAUGAUGCUGGAUAAUCUAGAGUCUCCCUUGAAUUUUACUAAAACCAAGUACACCAACGAGUAGAGCAAGUUUUUGUGAACAUUUCUGUUUAUUUUCACUUUCACUAAAAGUUAUUCUAUUUCUUUACCAAGCAUUUAACAAAAAAAAUUCCCAAGGGUAUUCUAAUCGAGGCGAAUGCAUUGGGCCACGCCCAUUUUUCUAAUAUCGGCUUAGUUCUUUUUUCUUCCAACACUCUGUCGAGUGUUGCCAUUUGCGCUGACAGUUCAAACGAACACUCACGAAAAGUGGCAUUUAUAGGGAAAGUUUCCUGGCAUCGCUGGCUGUGCUGCUGCCCAAUCAAAUCGUUCUCCGCUUGACGGGUUCAUUCCGCUUCGAAUUCCGCUUCGAAAAUUGCUUCGAAAUUUUCUAAACGGAAUCUCCGGUUGGACUCCGUUUAGAUUCCGUUUGAGCCAUUUUGGCACAUUAGCGACACCUGCUGGUGUACGGCAGAACCUCGAUGACAUUUCGCCGCGUUUCGCCGAAGCGGUUUUCUUGUUGAUUUUUUCAAUCUAACGUCAAAGUGUUAGGAAAAAAGCAAAAAGCAAAACAUGUUUGGUCCUGUUCAUUCGCGCCACGUUUUUUCGGGGAAUGCUGUGGAAAUAAUCGAACUGAUUCCUGGCCGCCCUACACGGGCUCGACGGAACCGGCUUCUUUUAUCUCUUCCAGUCGUUUCUUCUCCAUCCGGUCCAGCUUGUCGAACCCACAUUGACAUUUUUCCAAUGCUUGGACAGGCCACCAGAGCCGAAACCUGUGCAACCUUCGUCGGGGUUCUCAUUCUGCGGUCCACAUUCCCGGCGCUGUUGGCGGCACCGAACUCUGCCUUGGUCGACGCCAGCGGCUGGGACGUUUGGCCGUGAUGGCCGAUUUAGCAUUGGCCGGACUGGCCUUGAGGCGCUUCUUCAGCGGAAGCACGCGUGAAAGAUUUUUUUCACAGCACGUAAGUUUUUUAAACUUUUUAGUUAUAAUCAAAAUUAACUUUGAAACAUUUUUAAUUCAGGUGGAUAAUCGCGGGUGUUCUUCGAUUUGAACGUUGGCCAACUUUGAAUUAAACCGCCGAUCUCGAUGCGCCCGCUGGAGGAUUGUGGCCACUGGAACCAGCCAGCUGCGGAAUGUGUGGACCUGAGGUCGGACCUGUCCUGCGUGCAGAGGGCGACACGAUGCUGUCGGUCUAGCUGGUGGGCCAGGAGGUCGUACUUUCGACGGAAAAAUCCACCGCUUCAACAACACCCAGCGAGGGCACCUUUAGUGGCUUAGAAAAUUUCACCCGAAUACUUUCCAAACAACAGAAGUUGCUGCUUGUCCUUCUGUUUUGCCCAAUGAACCGCCAGUCGCGGCGUAAUUUCUCGUGCCGCCUCCGGAGAGUGACGCCGUCGUGUCUAAGUUGCCGAAUCCAAUGGACGGCAAGCUGGCGGUGCUCGUACCAAACGCACCUGACGGUGUCGGCGCCAGCAGUGACGCGGCUUAUCUGUUCGAAAGCAUGACCCAGGCGCGCAUGGGUCAGCGGCGGAGAACACUCGACGACGUCCCAAUUCCUUUGUCGUGCCGAACUCUCCGAUUGCGUUGGGUCGCCAGCACCACCUCCUCCUCCGCCGGCCUACCAGGGUAAUGGUUUCAGCGGUGAAGAGUGGACCACCUUCGCAGUCGCUGCGACCACCUGCUCGUUGCUAGUGGACCUACUGUAGAAGGAAUGCUUCAUUCCGUAUGUUGGGGACUACUGGGGGACUAAAGACCAGCGGACCCACGGCCAAAUCAGCGAUGCUAGGAGGUGUCGUGCAUCGUAACCCAGCUAUACCAAGUUGGCAGGAUUGCGGUUGAGAACAUCCCGGGGGAGGCGACGAGCAAGAUCUACCUGCUGCAGCAGUGGACACCGGUUCGACAGAACACUACCAGCACCAUGUCGGCGAUCCUACUACCGACGAUCGUGGAGAAGCUCCUCCGAUAGAAUCGAAACAUCUUCCAGCACGGAUCGCCGCCAUUCGAAUGCCUGCCAAUCUCCCUAACCUCGGUGCGACGACGACGAAUCUCACUUAGACCAAGCGGCCACGGUCCAGUCGACGAAAUCAUCCGAUACGAUCGACGGCGGCCAAGACGAAGACGAUGGAAUCCCGCGUAUAUCAUCCCGGCGUCGAGUACGGUCGAAUCGUCCGAUGCGACUCUCCAAUUCGGCGGACAAGAUAAAAUAAAAUCCACCCGAUCAGAACGAAAACCGGCAAGUCUGGAAUCGGCUAUCCAGAUUACGCGGACGCCCAGCAGCAAGAAACAGCAGAACGCAUUUCAUUUACUAAAGCCUAUGUAAUUUUGCGAAAAAAAAAGAUUAUUAAAAAUGGGGAAUUUGGGGCUGGGACUCGUGUUUUUAUUAAGGCGCUAAGUACAUAUAGGAAACCGUCGUCGGGAAACCUGUAAUGGUUUUGACUUGAACUUAAUGAAAUAAUGAAUUAAUGAAAAUAAACUCAACGUAUUAACAAAAUUCCAAUCUGUUUUUUUUCCGGUUGAAUUUCAAUUCAACCAAAACAAAAAAGAAAAACCACGAUACUAAGAAGAAGAAGAAGAAGCAGCUGUCAAAACUAACCCGUCCAUUCCGUUUCAAUUCCGUUUGAAUUCCGCUUGAACCGAUUUGCGGCGAAAACUCAAACGGAACCGGUUGUUGCGUUUGAAACGGAAUGCGGUUUAGAAUCUAAAACGAACACUGUUUAGAAUUCGAAUCGAACUUUUUUCGCUCAAGCGGAAUUCUAAACGGAAUUCAAACGGAACGCGCUGAGUGGGUGGUGGUGUGGACGGCCAGCCUUUGUUCUUUUUUGCCUUCGUCUCUCGCUCGGUUUUCUUCAGCCUUCGAGUGGAAUGCAAAGUGAAAAUUGAAACGUCAAACGACUUGGCGCGUUUGUUUUUUUGAUGGCGCUUGCUAAUUUAUUACAUUUUUCGGGAUUAUUCUUCAAUUGAGUGCCUUAAUAAUGAUCAAAAGAACAUGUUGCCGGUAGUUGGAAGCAAUUUCAUAUCUUAAGCGCCGUGAAAAAGUAAGCGAAAGUGAAAAGUUAAUUUUGGCGAUAUUCAUUAAGCGUUUGAGGGAUUCUCGUGUGUGUCACUGUGUGUGCCAACAAAAUGAUGAGAAGU